GACGAACGCUGGCGGCGUGCUUAACACAUGCAAGUCGAACGGUGAAGCGCCUUCCUUUUUGGUGGGUGUGGAUGAGUGGCGAACGGGUGAGUAACACGUGAGUAACCUGCCCCCUUCUUCUGGAUAACCGCAUGAAAGUGUGGCUAAUACGGGAUAUUCUGGGUCUGUCGCAUGAUGGGUCUGGGAAAGAUAUUGUUUCGGUGGGGGAUGGGCUCGCGGCCUAUCAGCUUGUUGGUGGGGUGAUGGCCUACCAAGGCGGUGACGGGUAGCCGGCCUGAGAGGGUGGACGGUCACACUGGGACUGAGACACGGCCCAGCCUCCUACGGGAGGCAGCAGUGGGGAAUAUUGCACAAUGGGCGCAAGCCUGAUGCAGCGACGCCGCGUGAGGGAUGGAGGCCUUCGGGUUGUGAACCUCUUUCGCCAGUGAAGCAGGCCUGCCUCGUUUGUGGGUGGGUGGACGGUAGCUGGAUAAGAAGCGCCGGCUAACUACGU
rnacentral:rRNA from 1 species